CCAGGUUGGAAGAUCUGAGAGGGGAGACUGUGGAUAAAACAGUACAGAGUCACUUCUCUGGGGACCUGAGGCUUGGCUUCCGCACUCUGGUUGGCUCCAUCCGAAGUAUUCCUUUGUUCCUGGCCCAGCGUCUACACAGCAACAUUAAGAAAGGCAGUUUGGUGCAGGGGAUUCUUAUCAGCCACAGUGAAGAGGACCUCCUCUGUGUGAGAAUCGAGUAUCGCAGACUGACCAACACUUCACUCUACUCUACA